rnacentral:piRNA from 1 species
UAGGAUGCAAUGAUGCAAUGAGGUGAUGU